AGGAAGGGUGGGGAUGACGUCAAGUCAUCAUGGCCCUUACGGCCUGGGCUACACACGUGCUACAAUGGUCGGUACAAAGGGUUGCCAAGCCGCGAGGUGGAGCUAAUCCCAAUAAAAACCGAUCGUAGUCCGGAUCGCAGUCUGCAACUCGACUGCGUGAAGUCGGAAUCGCUAGUAAUCGUGAAUCAGAAUGUCACGGUGAAUACGUUCCCGGCCUU
rnacentral:rRNA from 1 species